rnacentral:rRNA from 1 species
CCUACGGGCGGCAGCAGUGGGGAAUAUUGCACAAUGGGCGCAAGCCUGAUGCAGCCAUGCCGCGUGUGUGAAGAAGGCCUUCGGGUUGUAAAGCACUUUCAGCGGGGAGGAAGGCGUUAAGGUUAAUAACCUUGUCGAUUGACGUUACCCGCAGAAGAAGCACCGGCUAACUCCGUGCCAGCAGCCGCGGUAAUACGGAGGGUGCAAGCGUUAAUCGGAAUUACUGGGCGUAAAGCGCACGCAGGCGGUCAGUCAAGUCGGAUGUGAAAUCCCCGGGCUCAACCUGGGAACUGCAUUCGAAACUGGCAGGCUAGAGUCUUGUAGAGGGGGGUAGAAUUCCAGGUGUAGCGGUGAAAUGCGUAGAGAUCUGGAGGAAUACCGGUGGCGAAGGCGGCCCCCUGGACAAAGACUGACGCUCAGGUGCGAAAGCGUGGGGAGCAAACAGGAUUAGAUACCCUAGUAGUC